rnacentral:lncRNA from 1 species
AUGUAACAGAAAAGUGCCAGCUCUCCCUGUUUUCUUGUUUUAGAGAAAGAAAACCAAAGGAUCCGGCCGGGAAAGCAAUCUUCUGGCCUAGAAGCCCCCAGGAGAAAGUGCACACACAGAGUCCAGCAUGAGUGGUCAAGCAUACCUUGAUAUCCAGGAAUAAGGAAGCAGAGGUAUGUAUUUUUUUUUGUUGCUUAUUUUAUUGUAUCCC